rnacentral:lncRNA from 1 species
UGUCUUUGCUUAAACAGAUUUGUAAAGAAGCGGCUGAGAAGUUGCCACACACUUCAAGCUAAGUCUUCCACAGCAAUGAGCAACAAACAAAGCGUGGGGGUUUUAAUAGUUAAAUAGAUGGUUCCAAUAAAAGUCACUUUCCUCCAGUCCUGUAUUCUUUGGGCAGACAAUCGUGAGUCUGCGGCGGGAUCUCCUCCAAAGGCUCGCGGUCAGUGAUUGAUGGUCGGGACACAGGGCCGACAUGAUGCUAGCUUACGACCGUGGUCCCCUCGGUGGCCGGCCUUCCUUUAUCACCGCCCGGGGUCUGAAUGGGCAGGGGCGUAAAUCGCAGGGGUGCAGGGAGGACACGGCACCCUCUCUCCUGACAGCCAUUCACAGCUUGUCGGAGGGACGGGCCCCGCCCCAGGGCCUUUUGUCUGCCUCGGGCCCUCAACAGGUUAGAAGUCAAUGGAGGGCCUUGUGCGGAGGUGGCGGGGCACGGACGGACCGCCUCUCACACGGCGUUCACACAGGGGGAGGACCGGCCCUAUCACUGGGACACUUGUUACUGUGGGGCCACACAACGUCCCGGGUCGGUGUGUCCCCCAGGACCUGCCUCACUUUAAACAAGCUAAAUGCUGAGGGCUGAGAGCCGCGCCACGGAAACUCGAUCCGCGCUCACAGGACGACAGUGGUACCGAAUGAAAAGAGUGUAUCAUCCAAUCUCACUUUACAGAUUACACUGACAAUAAAACCAGGUCAGGCCUUAUUCGGACCGCUAUAGGCUCUUUAAAUUAGACAUAGAAGAGAUGCAUCUGCUUUUUGUUUGUGGAAAAGCAUGAGAACGGGACGCUCCGCCAGCAGUGAAAGAACACAGGACCUCAAGUGUCCCAACUUCUGCCACAACAAAAAACAUUUGUCCAGCAUCGACAGAACACAAUACAAUACACUGAACACGUGAGGAAGAUGUUAGUCAUAACCAUAUUAUUGUAUAACGUGCGUGUUGCGUCUGCAUGUUCAAAAAGGCUUAUCUGGACACAAAAGGCCUGAGGUGGGGCUGUCUUUGUGGUAACAGGUGGUAGUAAUAAAGCAAUACAGUGAUUAGAUGACUCGAUAUAGCUAUCAAAAAGAACAAAUUCAUUGUCUG